rnacentral:lncRNA from 10 species
CAGCACCCUUGUCUUUGCUGUUACCCUCAACUCCUGGAACAGAGCUUGUCAUACAGAAGGUGGUCAGUAAAUAUUUACUGAAUGAAUGAAUUAAUGCAAAAAUCCAGCUUUUAUCAAAAAGUAAGGAGAGAGAAAUGGUUAACAUAGGGGAUUGUCUAGACAUUCAAUUCAUUCACUUAAAAAAAAGGCUUUAAUGAGGCUAAAUUCACAUAGCAUACAAUUCACUCACUUGAAAUAUAUAAUGGGCUUUAGUAUAUUCACAGUCUUGUGCAUCUAUC